rnacentral:lncRNA from 1 species
CAAGAAAUAUGAUUUGAAUUAUUUAACUUACCAAAUUGCCCUUUGGCCAAACAAAACAAAUGUUUGAUCUGGAAGGUCAUCUUGAAUUUGGACGUAAAGUCUUAACUCGGUUUGAGUUGGACGUACCUGAGAGGAAAGCAACAAAAAUUAUCUUUACUAGAUUAACUAAAGAGCAUUGAUACUUAAACACUAGGGGUUAAUGUUUAUGCUACAAAACGACAGCAUUACAACGUAAGGUUAUCAUUUCUGUGUUGUUGGUCCUUUUUUCCCUCAGAUAAAUUUUAGGUUCCUCGACCGACUUUAACCCCGACUCGCGCCCCGAAUUAAACGCACCGUUUUGAGAAUAAUUGAAAAUGCACCGUUUCGACGCAUUUUUCCUUCGUUUUGAUUCAUUUUUCCUUUCCUUUCAUUUUUCCUUUCGUUUUGAGGCCUUUUACUUUUUGUACAACAGCUGCAAACAGAAACGCACUCUCUCACAGACGACAGCCGGUACAGACGACGGACCACCGCCAUCACGCGAUCGAGGUCUCCGUUGCCAUCACCGACAGUCACGUGACCAUCCUCAUCCACUCACAAAGCGCCAGACCACGGCUCCCCUCGGCCAGGUCUCCGUUGCCAUCACUGAUAGUUCUGCACCUGAGGUAAUGGAAUGAUUAUUUUAGAGUUGUAAAAUUUUAGAGUUGUAAAAUUAGUUGAUUGAGAUUUUGGCUGAUUGGGAAAUGAUUAUUGGUGCUGGAAUUGUCUUUUGGCUGUUUGAUAAUUUUAAUUUAAAUGAUGGCAUCUUUCUGUAGGCAGUAGUCUGUCAAAGAAAUAAUGAUAAAAAUAAUAAAUAGAUAAUUAAGUAUAUAGAGGACCGAUUUAGUGCGUGCAUCAAGAGAUUUGAUUAUUGAUGCUGGAAUUGUUGCUGCCGGAAGUGAUUAUUGGACUUCUUGUUUGAUAAUUUUAAAUUAUUUGGCUGAUUGGGAAAUGAUUAUUGGUGCUGAAAUUGUUACUGCUGGAAGUGAUUAUUGAAUUUUCUGUGCCUUGAGAUGGAGUGUGACAAUUUUUUUUUCUUUUUUUUGGGGUAAAAUGACAAUUUAUUUUUUAUUUAUUUAUUUAUUUUUCUUGUAGGCUUUGGAGAGAGGCAUGUCGGACCAUCAUUUUCCAAGUGGGUUUGUGAAGUGUAGUGGAUAUUUAAUGGUGUGCUUCUUGUUGUCAUAUUUUAUCUUUUCGAGCAGACAUUAAUUGCGGUGUUUAAUUACUUGUUGCAUUCUCUCUUUCCGGACAAUCACAAAAUUGUAAUUUUCGUUUUUUCAAUAUUAACUUGAAUUAUGGGCUCGUACUUUAGUAUAUGGCUUCUCCAAUUCCAAUUACAUUAAAAAUUAAUUCUAAAAAAAAUUAUACGGUGGACACAUUUAACUAAAUUCCUUAUAAAUUUAAAAUUAUUAAUAUCUACAUGAAACAAGAUUGAAUUGGAG